rnacentral:tRNA from 1 species
GCCUGGAUAGCUCAGAAGGCAAGAGCCUCGCCCUCGUAACGCGAAGGUCGGCGGUUCGAAGCCGCCUCCAGGCUCUA